rnacentral:sRNA from 1 species
CUGGCGCCCAGCCGCCGCCCCUUCCGCCCCCGGCCCUGCGCCCUCGGGCUCUGCGGUCCCCGCAGACCGUCUCUCAACCUCGGUGGGCCUGGCCGCCGUGGAUUCCUUCUUCUCGGUUUCAGCGGUCGUCAGCCUUGCCCCAACGGGUGAGACACAGUAACCCGGUUGAACUCUGCAUCUGGAAAGCUGAAGACUGAAGAAAGAUAAGAGACAUUGACUAGUCUGGAAACAGGGACAUCUUUGGAACUUCGUUUUCAUCCACAGUAAACUUUUGAAGUGUCAUCAAUUGGAAUUGAUUUCUUCAUCUUAUUCUGCCUAUUGGGAAGAACAUGGCUUCAAGGAUUUUAAGUUUCCCUUUAGUUUUACAUGAACUCUAUAGGAAACAGAGCCCUUAAAGGGCUUGGGAAUAACAAGAAGAGAUUGAAGACAGACAAGCUUGCCCUGUUUUCCUUGACCCUUCAAAGAAAAGGAUUUACAGCUCAAACUUACAACAGCUGUUGUCCAGCUUUAGCCAUCAAGAGAGAAAUAAAUUAAACCAC